CUGGGUUGGGUUUUAUGGCUCCAAACUAUGGGUGUGUCACCAUGCAGGAAGUAGUGGGAAAACCGAGGGAGGGGCAGAGGAAAAAAGGAGGGUGGAGAACUGUGUUUAGUGAGUGCCUACUGGAUGCUGGGAGUUGCAUACAGGCGUUACCAUAUUUAAAUUAAACCUUGAGAUGAAGGGACUGAAGGACAGAGAGAAAUUGCAUGCCUGGAGUCUCACUGCUAGUACAUAGAGGUGUUAUCUUCCUUUCAUCUAACAUAUUUAUUGAGCACCUACUAUGUACCAGGCCUUGUGCUAGACUCUGGGGAUAUGGAAAUGAGCAAAGUAGAUGUACCCCCGAAACUUGUGGACUAAUGGAGGAGACGGACCUUAAUCAGAUCGUCAUUCAAAGAUACUAUUACAAACUGUUCUGAGAGCCGAGGAAGCAGGAAGGAGCUGUGAGAGACUGAGCUCUAACCUUGGCCAUCAAAGACAAGCUGUGCAGCUCUGGUUUUUUGAGGGCAGGACAUGGAGGGUCAGGCCCAGCUGGAGGCGCACCAAAGCCCAGAGAAAAUUCAGAACCACGUGAACUUGUUGGAUUUCAGCCCCUUGAAGCACAUGUUGCUAUUGCAGCUGCCUUGAUAACUGGGGGGACAGGAGGAGCACGGCUUUCCCAUCUUGUACGGGGACUCGCCAAUCCAGUUGCCCCUGGAAGAGAAAAGGACCCAGGGAGACAGAGGAGCAUUAGGACUCAUUCAAUCAUUUAGUCAUUCAACAAACACUUCUGGAGCACCUAUUGAACAUCAGGAUUUGUGCCGGCUGCUGUCAGUCCACAGUUCUCAAAAGGCUACUAAUGACUUCAAGAACAUCAGAAUAAUACAAUAGAAAGAAUUUGGAA
rnacentral:lncRNA from 1 species